ensembl:lncRNA
GAAAAGCAGGUCCCAGCCAAACAAUGACUCAUACGACAUAUUAAUGAUGGAGAUGGGGUCAUACUAUGGAUAUUUUGGGAUGGCAAGGUAAUUGGAUAUUGUUGUCAGGGGUGGUGCUUGUAGGUGGGGCUGAAUUGGACUACUUAUCUCAGUGCAUCUUAAGCUUCCAUCUAUGAAUGAGAUUGCUUUAUGGAAAGAAACACCAUGAACACUCCACUAUUGAUGUUUGUUCUUCUGACUCUACCCUGCUACAGCGCACAUGGGCAGAUAAAUCCUUUUGGAAUUCCAGUCUCCGUCCAUGCUGGGAAGUUCUACGGCACGUCUCCCAGAGAUCACGUCUGCGACAGGGUUAAUUAUAGCGGUCUAGAUUUCACCUGCUGUGAAGGAGUACGUCAUGAAGGGGCGGGGCUGUCCUGCUGUGGAAACAGGGUCUUUAACCUCACCCAGGCUUCCUGUUGUAAAGGUCAGUUAACUCUGAAUGUGAGCCAGCUGGUGUCAGAUUGCUGUGGGUGUAGGCCCUACGACCCACUCAACCAGCUGUGUUGUGACUCACGGAUCCUAACCAGGACCCAACCUCAUGCCAAGUGUUGUGGAAAAGAGCUUUACGAUGAAGACCACCAGCUUUGCUGUGGAAAUGUUUUGAAAGGAAGGAAGGUCCUGGCCAAAAUGUCCAGUCACCACCGAUGCUGUGGAGACCACCAGUUUGACCAGCAAAGCCACUGCUGCUGCUCUGAAACACUAUCCCCAGAGCCUCUCAAUGCAAGCUGCUGUGCAUCAACAAGUUCUAAUUACAGGGGAAUUGACGCGAGUUCUCCAAACUGUAUGCCAGGGGAGAGGCCCGAGGGUUGCUGUGUGAACCAUACAUCCUGCCAGGGGCAUCCUCACUCCCACCUCCAGACCUCUGCGGAAACACGCAGCCACACCCCAGGUCUCCACGAUGAUGCUGGCUGUGGCUCUCAGGUUUACAAUCCAGACCACAAGACCUGCUGUGCCGGGAAGCUGUCCAAUAGGGUGCUCGGAAAAAACCUGUGCUGCGGUAAAACUCCCUAUGCUGUAGAGGACCGACGGGUGCUGUGCUGUAACCAGACGUUGCACCGUGGGGUGGAGGCUGGGCACCAGUGCUCCCCAGGUGGCCACUUGUAUCGGCCAUCCCGUGAAAUUGUGUGUGAGUCACGUGUUCAUCUCAACGAUCUAGGCAAACACUGCUGUGGAGAAGAGACCUACGACCCUCAGGAUGAAAUCUGCUGCAACGGACACAAACACCGCAGGUUGGGGAACAUGUCCUGCUGCGGAGGGAAGGCCUACGACCCCAGAAGUGGCCAGAUGAAGUGCUGUGCAGAUACUCUGUACAACCUGCAGGUUCAGGACAGGCUCUCAGAGGAUGCCCAGUGCUGUGGGAAUCUCCUGAUGGAGGCCGGCUCCACCUGCUGCUCCGACCCAGGACUAGACCUGCUCUACCCUACCCAGCCAGGGUUCACCUGCUGUGGGCACCGAUACCCCAACUCCUCCCUGUGGUCUUGCUGUGCGGGGGUCCUGCACCCAAGGCUUGAACCACACACCACCAGCAUGAACAUGACUCCAGGACCUAGGAUUCUACCACUGGGGAGCCUGAAGACGGAAGUCCUGUGUGACACCAGAGUUCUGCUAGGGACAGUGGAGAGUGUGUCUGUGAAGAGGAAUGAGCGGUCCAUCAUGAUGGGGAAGGUCAUGUCCAUGCAGGCCUUGUGUGGCCCUGUCAACGCCCUGCCUGCCCCUCACUACCUCACAUACUGCAGCUCUACUGAACUGGUGCCGGGCAACACUGACAUCUGGGUGGAAACAAGACAUUUCUCAGAAACAGAAGAAAGCCGUUACUACAACGUAUCCAAUUGACCACCAGAGACAUUCUUCAAAGGACUCGGUUGGGCAACACGCCUUCCAUCUACCACCAACCUACCGAAGCGCAGCUCAGACUUGGCAACAAGAGAUCCAGCAGGAAAGUCCCGUCCAGAACAACCAAUGAUAUUGCAUCAAUACCGUCAUCUCUACUCCCUUCAACGGAUCUCCCAUGAACCAUCGAUGACCUGUUCAUGAAUAACUUUCACACUGUGUGUGCGUAUGGAUCCCCGGUUUACUGACUUCUGGUGCAUUACCUCCCUAUGACUUGCACUCCCUGCAGAGAUGGUCAAAGGAAGAAAGGCCGGUGGUUCCUGGUCCCCUGGCUGAUUCCACCCCCCACGACACCCCAUCCGCCUCCCUUGGACAUCGAGUGAAGCCCCGUCCAUACAGUCAGAUCCCUCCUGGACUCCGGAAUUUGUGGGGUUCGGCUCCAGUACCCAGUGGACUGGAAAGUGUAAGGUCCAGAGGAGCAGUGUUGGUUUCGGUGGAUGACAUUCUAGAUCCCAACAUCAUUUGAGGGGAGGGGGGGAAGGGUACUGCCACAUCUACUCCUGCUCCCCCGCUCCGGUGGUAGACGUUGUGCCGGUUUACUAACCACAGGACCUGGAAACCCAUCUUUAUGCACACCUGGCAACCGUCAUUACGCACACCUGCGUCUCAUCAGUCACACUUGGACUUCAUAACUCAUUCUUUAUAUAGUACCCUUCUGUUAGUAGUCGUCAGGUAGUAAUGUUUAUGUUUCCAUGUAAGACGCUUCAUGUUUUGUGUCGUUCCAUGUUCAUUAUUAUUAAACUCACCAACUGCACUUGUUUCUUGACUCCCUGCGCCUACGUUACAGAUAAAUAUGUAUGUUUUUAAAACCGCAACACCGUCACCUGUUUUGUAUGCAACUGAAGGACUGGGCUGUGGAAAUGCAAUCCCUCUCAAAUGCAUAGACUGACAGUCCAUGACAGUUCAAGAGAUAGCAAAAUCACAUGUUAUAACAUUCUAACACCUGUGUGUAACGCAUUUUGACUGUAUCUGUAAACGACAGCCGUGCACCUGGUGAUUGGAACGGGUUACCUGGAGCAAAUCUUUAAAACGUUUUUUAAUGCCUUUAGGGGGUUCAAGGGGUCUAUGGCUGAGUAGGG